rnacentral:lncRNA from 1 species
UUGUAAUAUGUUUAUCUAAUUUCUAGCAAUUUUUUGUAUCAUGAAUGAUGUAUGUUCUGUCAAUUCUCUCCAUCUCUUUUUGAGUAGAUAUAUAUACCUGUGUACACAUAUUUUGCUGUCUCGGGCACAUCCCUAUUUCUUUGGCAUAUGGAAACUUGAAAUUGUUGGGGGUUUAUAUUCUCUACUCUUUGGUAAAUAACAUUUUGAUGACACAAUGAUUGACGCAUCAAUUUGGAUUUACAUGGUUAAUUGUGUGGUCUCAGGUGGUGAGAUGAAUGGGUUUCAGAAUGGUAAAAAUAGCAAUCUUGAUAAACCUUUUCCAGGAUGCUUGGGACGAAUGGUGAACCUUUUCGAUUCGAAUUCUGGGGUGGAUGGAAACAGGAUGCUUACAGAUAAACCACAUGGUGAUAAUAAAUUUCUUUGCUAUAUACUUCUCAAUGGUGAACCUUUUCGAUUUGAAUUCUGGGGUGGCAGGAAACAGGAUGCUUACAGAUAAACCACAUGGUGAUAAUAAAUUUCUUUGCUAUAUACUUCUCUGUUCUCUCUAAUGUUCCAUAUUUGGAUUUUGAAUCCUUUAUUGAGAACCACAUAAACAAGACACUCCGCGGUAAUGAUUGUUUUGUAGAUAAAAACACUAUUGUAGUUUCACUUGGAAUAUCUUUUUGUUAAGUAGUGGCAACUAGAACAUUUUUGCGGAAUUGAUUCGUCAAACUAAGGAAUAGUGCAUCAAUAGUAUUGUUUGCAGAAGACUAGUCAAAUUGCCUAUCAAGUUCAAAAAGAUAUUUUGGAUGUAAUGGGUAUUAUGAAAUGUGACUCCUCUAUCUGGAGCUUUUUUCAUUUUCCAUAAACAAAGUUCCUGCAAUAACGGCCAGAUCUAGUUUGAAUUCAUACAGUAUUCGAGUAUUUGUUUAUAUUGUUUCUGCAUCCUCUAACCGUGAAACUGAAUCUUCGUGUUGACUUGGUCCAUCUUACUGCAGG